rnacentral:rRNA from 1 species
UUGGAGGGCAAGUCUGGUGCCAGCAGCCGCGGUAAUUCCAGCUCCAAUAGCGUAUAUUAAAGUUGUUGCAGUUAAAAAGCUCGUAGUUGAAUUUCGGGGUCUGUCCAUUGGUCGGGCUUUACGGUCCGUACUGGUGAGAUGGGUUCCUACCUUCUGAAUAACCAGCAUGCCAUUCAGUUGGUGCGUUGGGGAAGCAGAGCUAUUACCUUGAAAAAAUUAGAGUGCUUAAAGCAGGCUAGUGCUUGAAUAGAUUAGCAUGGAAUAAUAAAAUAGGACGGCAUGGUUCUAUUUUGUUGGUUUCUAGGAUCACCGUAAUGAUUAAUAGGGAUAGUUGGGGGCAUUAGUAUUCAAUUGUCAGAGGUGAAAUUCUUGGAUUUAUUGAAGACUAACUUCUGCGAAAGCAUUUGCCAAGGAUGUUUUCAUUAAUCAAGAACGAAAGUUAGGGGAUCGAAGACGAUCAGAUACCGUCGUAGUCUUAACCAUAAACUAUGCCGACUAGGGAUCGGACGAUGUUAAUUUUUUAAUGACUCGUUCGGCGCCUUACGGGAAAC